rnacentral:rRNA from 1 species
CCAUAGCGCUCUUAGACAUAUGUAAGGAACUUUCCAGAGAUGGAUUGGUGCCUUCGGGAACUUACAUACAGGUGCUGCAUGGCUGUCGUCAGCUCGUGUCGUGAGAUGUUGGGUUAAGUCCCGCAACGAGCGCAACCCUUUUCCUUAUUUGCCAGCACUUCAGGUGGGAACUUUAAGGAAACUGGCCGUGACAAACUGGAAGAAGGGGGGGAAGAACUCCAGUCCUCCUGGCCCUUACGACCAGGGCUACCCACGUGCUACAAUGGUCGGGACAAAGGGUUGCCACCCCGCGAUGGGAAGCCAAUCCCAAAAAACCGAUCGUAAUCCGGAUUGGAGUCUGCAACUCCACUCCCUGAAGUCGGAAUCCCUAGUAAUCCCGGAUCAAAAUGGCCCGGUGAAUACCUUCCCCGGUCUUUGAACACACCCGA